CCUGAAGUUCGACACCUGUGCUGUAGAUGUUCUGUUCAAACAAAUAUGGAUACCACAAAACCAGUGUGGGUUUGGUUUUGUGCGAUGGUGAGGCCAUUGCAGUCAUGGAGAUCCAUGGUUAUGUGGUAACAAAUAGGAUGAGGAUUCCAAGCCAGCAAGCCCCAGUCUAAAUAAUGCCACACUGAAGAAAGGUUCUGCUGGUUUGAAGAUGUGAGGCAUAAUAUUCCAACACAAAGAUUAAAAAGACCAUUAUGAUACCUGGAAAUGCUUGUAAAAUGAUCCCAGAUGAACAUAAACACCCACACAACCCAUACCAAAUGACUUAUCCAUAUGGAGCCAAGUUUGAUGUAUUGAAACCAUGAAACAGUGACGAAUAAAUUGCCAUACCAAACGGGUGCUGUGGAAAUGUAAAUGGCACCUCUGAUUCAACUGGACACAGAUUACACACUGACGUUAAUGUGCGAUGCUCUCAUGUUCCCUGUCUGCGUCUGUUAGCUAAUAGCUUAAACGGGCAGCAGAGUUUUAAUUCUUGAAUAUUUCUAUGACCACACAUGGGUUAUUCUGAAGUUGACCUAGAAGUUUUUAUAUUGCUGAGGGAAAAAACAAAUAAAAAAACUGUUAGUAGUGCUAACAUUAUCCAAGAACUCAUUGUCAUCAUCCAAAGAACUGCAGCUACAUUUGCUAACAGCUUAACAAUAAGUACUGUGCAUGUAAUGACCAGC